rnacentral:rRNA from 1 species
AACAGGGAAUGUAGCCCAUUUCUUCCCUUUCCAUACGCUACACCUCGACCUGACGUUUUGGGCUGUGCCAAUUAUGCUUACUAAAGGGCCUUCAAAGGGUAAGCUGACGACGGCGGUAUAUAGGCGGGGGGAACAAGAAAAGGUGAGGUUGAACGGGGGUUAUCGGUUUUAGAACAGGCUCCUCUAGGGGGGUCUAAAGCACCGCCAAGUCCUUUGGGUUUUAAGCUAUUGCUCGUAGUUCCCAGGCGGAUAGUGAUUGUA